rfam:Cricetulus griseus cell line CHO-K1, whole genome shotgun sequence.
UAUCCUUCUCAGCGUUCAGGCUAAGAUCAAGUUUAGUAUCUGUUCUUAUCAGUUUACUAUCUGAUACAUCCUCUAUCACUGAUACUCUUGUGUGAAUAAUGAACUCAAUUGUUUUUGAGGUGAUGAUUCCAAAUACCUAUAAACUUGGAAUCACCUAAAUUUUUGCUUUGCUUCUUUAGACCACAU